ACUCGACCCCCCCCUCAAAUAAAGGCCAAAGUAGACUGUUCCGCACACACACACACUCCUGUUACGUCACGCAUGUAACCAGAGCUGCGGUUUUUAAAGUGACUUCCUGUUUUUAAUCCAGCAAACUUUUUCUACAGAUAUAAGUAGGACGUUGAUGUGUUUUGCUCUUUUUGUGGUUGCAGAAGAUGUCCAUCACUUAUUCUGCAACCUCGUGCUCUCCUCUCUCCGGGUGAAAUCCGAUGAAUUGGGCUGUUCCAGUUGAUCGAGAUCAGGAUGUGGUCAGAAGGGACGCGAGCAGGUGUCGCCGCGGCGUGGACGGGAGGGACAGAGAAGAAGAAACCUCCUGUCGUCUGUUCAUGGCACAUGUGCGAUAUCCACAUAACCCCACCAAUGAAGAAGAAACUACACGUACAAUACAUUUUAAACUAUAUACGGCUGUGAUGUUUUUUAUUUGUAAAAGACAUUUAAAAAAAAAAAAGUUAUAAAUGUAUUUUUUGACAGGUCUGAUUUGCAAAGGAGAAGCACUUCCCUAGUUACAUGGCAACAAAAUGCUUAAUUGUCAGCCCUGGCUUCUGAUUGGUUAAAUGGUUUAAUACAACUACUCCUUGACCAUGUUUAUGUUCCUAUGCACGGUUUUGUAUUUGAAGAAGACAUUUUUACAGUUAACAUUUCAGCCGGACUUCUGAGUUUUGUUGAAACCCCACAGUCCACGAGGACUCUACCGUGUGCAUUU